UACGUAGGGGGCAAGCGUUAUCCGGAAUUAUUGGGCGUAAAGCGCGCGCAGGCGGCUGAUUAAGUCAGGUGUGAAAGGCUGCGGCUCAACCGCAGAGCGGCACCUGAAACUGGUCAGCUUGAGUGCAGGAGAGGGGAGCGGAAUUCCCGGUGUAGCGGUGGAAUGCGUAGAGAUCGGGAGGAACACCAGUGGCGAAGGCGGCUCUCUGGCCUGUAACUGACGCUGAGGCGCGAAAGCGUGGGGAGCAAACAGG
rnacentral:rRNA from 1 species